AUAUUUAUUGAAUAUUUCAGUGGUAGCAUAUUCUGAUAUGACAAAUAUACCCUAUCAAAUAAUGCUCCCCCAACAGAAUCAUUAUAUAUUGCACCACUACUCACUCCAUGUGCACUGUUAAGAGAUAAGGAGCAUAUUUUGAUAUUCUUUAAAUUAUAUUUGUUGAAUAUUUCAGUGGUAGCGUAUUCUGAUAGAAAAAUAUACCCUAUCAAAAGGCACAAUGAAUAAAUGAUUUAUUAGAUAUUACUCCAUUAACCACAGUAUCGACCACAUGUCCGACCGCAAGGAUGCAUAGAUUUAUGGGCGGGGAAUCAGACCACGCUUGUGGGUCGUGCGCAUGCGCAGAACCGCUAAGUAGCACAUCUCGAUAGGUAGCAUAGAUCGACAGAACACCGGGGCUCCGGUUCCGGACCCAGACGUGUCUGCUGCUGCUGGCCGAGAUGAGGCUGAGGAUGGCGGUGAUGGAGGACAGCAGGAAGGCCCUCCUCCUCCGGAGAUACUGCCUCCUCCUCCGGUCCCGCUGCACCAUCUCCCGGGCCCUGCCCCGCCUCAGCACGGCCGCCUGGAGCCGCCACAGCUCCGACAGCCCGGUACCGGACACCGGGGGGGCACCGGGGGUACCGGGGGUACCGGGGGCCCGGACAGGCUGACCACGGAGCAGAGCAGAGCUCCACCCUGUGGAUCCAUGGAGUACUGCAGCUAUUAACACGUUUCUAAACAACAAUAGAAGUUGUUAUCAUGUUUAUAAAGUUAUCAGCUGUUUCUCAUAUUCUAACAGAUACAUAUUUGGUUUGUAACAAACAGAAAGAAGAUCUAAACACAUUAGCCUAUGUCUACAGCAGCUUCAUAUUUCAUCUUGUAUAUGAAGCUUCUACAAAAUUAUUAAAGUAAACACAGGAAACUAA